rnacentral:rRNA from 1 species
UACGGAGGGUGCGAGCGUUGUCCGGAAUCAUUGGGCGUAAAGGGCGCGUAGGUGGCCCGGUCAGUCCGUGGUGAAAGCUCGGGGCUCAACCCCGAGUCGGCCGUGCGAACUGCUGGGCUCGAGCACUGUAGAGGCAGGCGGAAUUCCGGGUGUAGCGGUGGAAUGCGUAGAGAUCCGGAAGAACACCGGUGGCGAAGGCGGCCUGCUGGGCAGUUGCUGACACUGAGGCGCGACAGCGUGGGGAGCAAACAGG